AACGAACGCUGGCGGCAUGCCUAACACAUGCAAGUCGAACGAGACCUUCGGGUCUAGUGGCGCACGGGUGCGUAACGCGUGGGAACCUGCCCUUAGGUUCGGAAGAACUCCCCGAAAGGGGUGCUAAUACCGGAUAAUGUCUUCGGACCAAAGAUUUAUCGCCUUUGGAUGGGCCCGCGUUGGAUUAGCUAGUUGGUAGGGUAAAAGCCUACCAAGGCGACGAUCCAUAGCUGGUCUGAGAGGAUGAUCAGCCUCACUGGGACUGAGACACGGCCCAGACUCCUACGGGAGGCAGCAGUGGGGAAUAUUGGACAAUGGGCGAAAGCCUGAUCCAGCAAUGCCGCGUGAGUGAUGAAGGCCUUAGGGUUGUAAAGCUCUUUUACCCGGGAUGAUAAUGACAGUACCGGGAGAAUAAGCUCCGGCUAACUCCGUG
rnacentral:rRNA from 1 species